rnacentral:lncRNA from 1 species
CCAAAUGUGCCCUCCAGGAAGCAAUGCAUGAUGGAGUGACUAGAUAUAAGAAGGCUGGAUCCUAAACACACAGAAUGCCAUAGAAGUCCUGGACUGCCCACUUCUAGACUUUUUGAAUGUGAGAAACUUCUGUCUUUUCCACUCCUUGGAACCAAAGAUAAUUUCAGCUCAUGCAAGUAAUGUUUUCCAAAGAAAGUUGAUUUUUCCAGAGCAAACCAGUGGCAAGGAAAAACAAUUAGAUCCUUCAUUAAGAUUUUUACAAAGGUACUUUUAAUUCUACAACCGUAGGGAGAGACCGGCCAGCCCUGUUUACCUUGAUCGUGAAGAUUACAGGUUCCAGAUCUUCAUAGUAACAGGCCAACCUCCCGAAGAUGCAUAAAGACACCUUUGCCGUUGACCAGGCAGACCCUGCAUCCACAGGACAUAGAGAGAAAGGUGCUCCCUGAACACUGAUCUGGAUAAGCAUUGCUGGGUCAGUGCAGAGGCGUCCAUUUCCCCAGUCUGCCGAGCUGGCCUAAAGCUGAGGACCUCUUAGUGGGAGCUGAGGACAUGUGCCUGAAGAGGCAAGCCCUUGACUGAUGGAAAUUGGAGUCUGAGUUCCAUGUGGGGGACUGGGAAGCACAGCAAGGUCUGAAAUGGGAGACCCAGGGAAGGGCAGAGAGGACCAAAGGAGGAAGGGGGUCUACAGUGUGGGAAACAGCCUGGACGCAACAGCCGGGGGAGGAGGCCUGCUCUGGCCCCAGUGGCCCCUUGUAAGCAGGAAAGGCAGCUGGCUAGACCUCUUCUGUGUUAUUCACUCUGAUUUUAUCCUUUAUCUUCCCCUCCCAACCUCACCUCCUUUCUAACCCCAAAGCCAUGCAGCUAAUAUGACUAAGAUUGCUGGGCGUUUGCUUGGAAAUGCAAAUGAGAAUUUCUGGUAGUUUCCUAGUUUCCUUGAUCUCCUUUGUCAAGUUUAUUGAGGGGAAAGGACUCUCGGUUAAAAAAAAAAAAAAAAGAAAAUCCAGAUUUUGAACACCAGCUCUCUUUAAUGCCAACUUCCUGAGGAGCUGCCCAGCUCUGUAACAACCUGGAACAGAGGCGCCAUCACAGACUUGGCUCUGACGGGCGGCACAGCAAGAAGCCUUGCUCGCGUGUGGGACGUGCCCGUUCUGGCCUGGAGAGAGGGCCCAGAGACACCACCUCGCCACCGCCACCUGAUUACUCAUUGUCACCAAUGAGAUGACAAGAACUGAUGACGCAUUUCCCUUUUGCUGCACUCUGACACCUCAGAGACCACAGCAGAGAAAAAGCUGCUUUUGUAAAACUGGAACAUGAACUACGCGGACGCCCCAGAGGAGGUCUCUGCUGCCCUCUGUUGCUGGCUUCUUAGUAACCCUAACCAUUUUUAAGAAUACAGUAUUUGGUUUCAGUAACUUUAUUACAUGAAAAGUAUGCUCGGAGGAAAAAAUGUGUCAAAUUUAAUCAGUCGUGGGUACUAUCAACAUUUUAAAUUGUUGCCAAUCUAAUAGAGGAAAAUGGUAUCUCAUUGCUGUUUUAAUUUUCAUUUUAAAAAUUCUAAGUGAGGCUCAAAAUAGUUUAUUUUUCCAGUUUCCUGCCAGUGGGUAUACUUUUCUUUUUUUGUUUUUUUAAUCUUUUUUUAUUGAUUUAGAAAAGUUUUUGCUGUAAAUGCGUUUCUUUUUAUACUAAUGCUUUUCUCUGUUAUAUAGUCAAAUUUAUCAGUCUUUUCUUUAUAACUUCCGGCUUUCAUGUUCCUUAGGCUAUGGAUUUUUUUAAAUGCAUGCAUAUAUUUAGUAUAGUUUUUAGUAUUUAAAACUUUAAUCAAUCUGGAAUUUAUUUUUAUUGUAAAGUGGGAAAUAGAAGUACAGCUUUAUGUUUCUUUGUUUUUAAAAUGGCUUGCAAGUUGUACCAAUAUUCUUCCUUAAAUGCUCCAUUUUAUGGCUUACUUGAAGUGCAUUUUUGCUUCUAAUGAGACCUGACUUUCUGGCCUAUUUCAGGACUUUACAUUGUUCUGUUGGUCUGUUUUUCUCCUCCUGUAUCAGUACCUAUAAUGUGUAACUACUAGACAUGUAUUAAUGUAAUAGAAUACAUUUCAAUAUUAUAUAGGGCUAGUUUCCCCUCUUGACUAUUCUUAUUAUACAUUUUUUAUCUUUCUAGAUAAACUUUAAAAUCAAGUUUUUAAAAGACACUGUUGAUGUUUUGAUUGGGAAUGUGUUAUAUUUAAUUUAUAAGAGAAAAUUGAUACUGUUAUAUUUUGUGUCCUUGUAGCUAAGGCUUAUGUCUUUCCCUUUUAAAAUUUGUCUUUUUUUAAAGUUCACCAAUAGAUUUUAAAAGUUCUUUUCAUGUUGGCCCUGCACAUAUUUUUGUUGAUUUUAUCCCUAGAGUUAUUUUUUGGUUGUUACUAUAAACGGGAACUGUUAUUCCAUUGUAUUUUCUGAUUAUUGCUUGAAUACAGCAUUUCCACAGCUGAUCCUUUCCUAAAAGCUGACACUAUGACAGCAGUUGGAAAUUAAAAAGGAAAGCCAUGGCAAAAGACAGUCACAGCUCCACUUGGCUGUUCUGUUCUUUCAGAAAACGUAGUGACCUCGUAUGAGUACAUCCCCUGAGGUAGGGUCAAAAGAAAGUCUGUUAGGACACCUAAGAGUUUCUUGGAGAUGUCAGGAUAUCCACCGGGGUUCUGAAGUAAAGAU